GGUUCAGGACGAACGCUGGCGGCGUGCUUCAUACAUGCAAGUCGAACGAGAAGUUACCUUCGGGUAAUGGAAAGUGGCGGACGGGUGGGUAAUGUGUAGAGAAUCUGCCCUAGAGUGGGGGACAACAGUUGGAAACGACUGCUAAUACCGCAUAUGCGCGUAGCUGAGAUGCUAUUCGUGAAAACUAAGGUGCUCUGGGAUGAGUCUGCAUCUGAUUAGCUAGUUGGCGGUGUAAUGGACCACCAAGGCGACGAUCAGUAGCUGGUUUGAGAGGAUGAUCAGCCACAAUGGGACUGAGACACGGCCCAUACUCCUACGGGAGGCAGCAGUAGGGAAUUUUGCGCAAUGGGGGAAACCCUGACGCCAGCAACGCCGCGUGAUUGAAUAAGCCCUUCGGGGUGUAAAGAUCUGUCAGUGGGGACGAAACUUGACGGUACCCACAGAGGAAGCAUCGGCUAACUCCGUGCCAGCAGCGGC
rnacentral:rRNA from 1 species